CGCGAUUGGAUGAACCUAGGUGGGAUUAGCUAGUUGGUGAGGUAAUGGCUCACCAAGGCGACGAUCCCUAGCUGUUCUGAGAGGAUGAUCAGCCACACUGGGACUGAGACACGGCCCAGACUCCUACGGGAGGCAGCAGUGGGGAAUAUUGCACAAUGGGGGAAACCCUGAUGCAGCCAUGCCGCGUGUGUGAAGAAGGCCUUCGGGUUGUAAGGCACUUUCAGUAGGGAGGAAAGGGUGAGUCUUAAUACGGCUCAUCUGUGACGUUGCCUACAGAAGAAGGACCGGCUAACUCCGUGCCAGCAGCCGCGGUAAUACGGAGGGUCCGAGCGUUAAUCGGAAUUACUGGGCGUAAAGCGUGCGCAGGCGGUUUGUUAAGCGAGAUGUGAAAGCCUUGGGCUCAACCUAGGAAUAGCAUUUCGAACUGGCGAACUAGAGUCUUGUAGAGGGGGGUAGAAUUCCAGGUGUAGCGGUGAAAUGCGUAGAGAUCUGGAGGAAUACCGGUGGCGAAGGCGGCCCCCUGGACAAAGACUGACGCUCAUACACGAAAGCGUGGGGAGCAAACAGGAUUAGACACCCUGGUAGUCCACGCCGUAAACGAUGUCUACUCGGAAUUUGGUGCCUU
rnacentral:rRNA from 1 species